rnacentral:lncRNA from 1 species
UUCACUUUUGCUAUAAUCUAAUAUCGAAGCAAAUCUAGUAUUAAAAUAACUUGUGGAUUCAUAACAUAGCUAAAAUAGGAAUCACUAAGGCUGCAUUUUGUUUGAGAACUAAAUUUUAGAAAACAAUUUUUGUUGUUCUUGGUAUAAGUUAGAAUAAAUUAUAAAUUAUCAUCCUCCUCUUCUUCUUCCUUCUCGCCCUCCUCCUCACCUCGUCCUCCCACCCUCACCACAACUGCCUCAACUGGUCCCCAUGCCACUAUCGCCGAC